CAAGUCCAGCCGCGCCUUUCGGGGUGAGCGGCGGACGGGUUAUAACGCGUGGGAAUAUACCCUUUGGUACGGAAUAGCCUCUGGAAACGGAGAGUAAUACCGUAUGUGCCCUUCGGGGGAAAGAUUUAUCGCCAAAGGAUUAGCCCGCGUUAGAUUAGGUAGUUGGUGGGGUAAUGGCCUACCAAGCCUACGAUCUAUAGCUGGUUUUAGAGGAUGAUCAGCAACACUGGGACUGAGACACGGCCCAGACUCCUACGGGAGGCAGCAGUGGGGAAUCUUGGACAAUGGGGGCAACCCUGAUCCAGCCAUGCCGCGUGAGUGAAGAAGGCCCUAGGGUCGUAAAGCUCUUUCGCCUGUGAAGAUAAUGACGGUAGCAGGUAAAGAAACCCCGGCUAACUCCGUGCCAGCAGCCGCGGUAAUACGGAGGGGGUUAGCGUUGUUCGGAAUUACUGGGCGUAAAGCGCACGUAGGCGGAUCGGAAAGUUGGGGGUGAAAUCCCGGGGCUCAACCCCGGAACUGCCUCCAAAACUAUCGGUCUAGAGUUCGAGAGAGGUGAGUGGAAUUCCGAGUGUAGAGGUGAAAUUCGUAGAUAUUCGGAGGAACACCAGUGGCGAAGGCGGCUCACUGGCUCGAUACUGACGCUGA
rnacentral:rRNA from 1 species